UUAAGUGCCGGGGGAGGGGUCUCUGUGGAACAAGCGUGCCUUCAUCUGAAAAUGACUUGAUUUUGUCUUGUAUGACAGUAAGAGAAAAAGAUGACCGUUUCUAAGGGUGGUCCCCUGAAAAAGGGGAGGUUUCAGGUUCCCUGCCCUAACUAAGAAAGGGUGGAGCUGAGCAGCAAGGAGGAAGCUCCAGAAGAUAGUGGGAGAAGGAAGGAGCAAGGGUGGAGAGCAAGAAGGAGACCUGGAGGAGGCACUUGGAGCAGAAAGACAUAUAAAGAAGAUGCACUUGCUUCUUGGUCUUGGACUGGUUAAAACAUGUGGAUCCUACAGGGCUAAGGAGGAUGGUGAAAGAAGACCAGGGGAAGAGGCACAUUUUCUUUAAUGCUUCUUUCUUAAUUGUUGAUGCCAUCUGACAGAUUCCCAAAUACUCUCUUGUGAGAAUUAAGGUUGGAGUUCUUCAAGGUAUCUUUCAGAGGCUUCUAUUCUAUAUACUUCGUGACAGCACAUCUGAACACUCCAUGGCUCUCCAUUUGGCAAAUGGCACUUCUAGAUGCGGUACUUCAGGAAGAUUCAACCCCAGCUUACUGCUAAGGGAACUGUCUACUUUGCCCACUAAAAACUCAUGCAUCUUCACCAUACUAAAUGGAGGGAAUGCAGGCUGCUGCACUGCUAAUACCCCGUCUUUACCUUGCCACUUCUAUUUCUGUUCCUCCCUUCUCAUAUGGAUAGAGGUAAGGCACUGGCACUCAGAUGACCUGAGGACACCAGGUUCUUUUAAGGGCGCCAACAGUAAGUGCUUCCUUAUUGUUCUGUUUUGUUUUUCAGUCACUGUUUUCAAACACAUUCUGUCAAAUCCUUUCCUUCACUUUCAGUAUAUAUUGGGCAGACCUCAAAGCUCUCCAGGCACUUCCCUUCCUGCAGGGAUUCUCAUUUUCUCUUGAGUGGUGGUGGGGUAUUUGUUCAUUUACUUUCAUUCAUUGGAGUGUGAAAGGGAGGAAAGACCCAGUACCCAGUUCUCUCCCAACUAGUAAUGCCUACAUUUCUCUUAGAAUUCUCUCUUCCCAAGGCAAUCUUAUAUAGACUGGAGGGUAUUGGUAGGAUGAUGAUAAUAAAAGCACUUUUAGCAGAGAAGUGGGUCUCUUUAAAAAUAGGAUAUUUUAUGCCUAAUGUUUUGAAUAUGGUCGCUUCUAAGACAAUAAGAAAUGUUUCAUUUUAUAUAUAUAUAUAUAUAUAUAUGGAAAUAAUGUGAAGAAAGAUACCACUAAGAAUGUGCAAGAUCAGUAAAGAGAGACAAAUUUAGAAUGAUAAUGACUCUUGUAUAGGAAAAUGACAGAUCUGGAGUGAUAUGACAAAGAAUUUGAAAGGUUUUAUGGAAGGUCUGUUUUAUGGUUGUUAGAACCUAAAUAGGUAACAAAAUUUCCAGUGAUUUCAGAAGAGUGCUAUUGAGUUUGGGUUUUUUUUUUUUUUUUAAAGAUACUUGAGGGCUUUAGAUCAAUUUUCAUCAUUCUCCCCUAUUAUUACAAGGAAAUUCUACUGUAGCACUUCCCAAACUGUGUACUAGUUCCAAAACUUAGUUCCUUAAGAGGUCAAUAAAAAUAGAUACUCGUGGAGUGUGCCUGAUAGCGGGUAGAAUUAUGGUUUUUAAAAAAGUUUAGAAAAUAAUUUUCUUAACUGUGUAACAUCUCAGAAUGUUUCAUAUGCUAAUAUGUUAUGAAUCCCCAAUAGGAAUAUAUAGCUUACUAUGGAUUGGAUUGUUUGUAGUUACCCUCCCCUUCCCUACAAUGGCAACAAGUCAUAUGUUGAAGACCUACCCUCCAAUGUUGAUAUUUGGAGAUAGGACCUAGGGAGAAAAAUUGGGUUUAAGGGCCUCCUUAGUGGCGCAAGGGGUUAAGACGCAACCUAUGAAGCUAUCCAUGGCCACUGCAGCACGAGUUCGAUCCCCUGGCCAGGGAGCAACCCACAUGGCAGCAGACCUCUCCUGACUCGCCCGCUGUUCCCCUCAGUGGUGGAUUUCAGUCAAUCUGCCAGUUCUGUUCCCCACUCUGUCUCUGGUGAAUCCUCUCGCCUCCCGUACCUCUGGCCUGUACCCCAGUUCUUAUAUACAUAAAUAAAUAAAUCUUUUUUUGAAAAAA